CCGCUGCCUCCUCGUCCUCCCGCCCUGCGGGGAAGUGAAACCAUCCCCCUUUCCCCUCCCUCCCUCCUCCCUCCCCCCAGGGCUCCGAGCGCCCCGAUCCCACAGGGGGGAAGCGAAACCCGCUGUGGGGUGUUGGGAUUUUUCCACGGGGCAGGAGCUGCUGCUCCAGGGGUUCCCAGGGGGUGGGAAUUCCAUGGACACAGCGGGAAAGAUCGGAGCAAAAAAGGGGUGUGGUGGCUGCGGUGGUUUAUUCACCAAAAUAAAGGGAUUUACGCCGAUUUUAGGACAUUGAUCCCACUGGAAAAGGGGGAUUUGUAGGGAUUUGGGAGGUUUUGUGGAGCUCAAGGGGUGGGAAUUCCACAGGCGGGGAAGGAAAUACUGGAGGAAAAAAGGGGUUUGGUGACCACGGUGGUUUAUUCACCAAAAUAAAGGGAUUUAUGCCAAUUUUAGGACAUCAAUCCCACUGGAAAAGGGGGAUUUGUAGGGAUUUGGGAGGUUUUGGGGAGCUGCAGCUCAAGGGGUGGGAAUUCCAUGGACACAGCGGGAAAGAUCGGAGCAAAAAAAGGGGUUUGGUGACCAUGGUGGUUUAUUCACCAAAAUAAAGGGAUUUAUGCCAAUUUUAGGACAUUGAUCCCAUGGGAAAAGGGGGAUUUGUAGGGAUUUGGGAGGUUUU